ACUGGUUCUCGUUAGAUCACCGAAGUUAAGCAUCAUUGGGCGCGGUCAGUACUUGGGUGGGUGACCACCUGGGAACACUGCGUGCCGUU